ACGAACGCUGGCGGCAGGCUUAACACAUGCAAGUCGAACGAACGUAGCAAUACGUUAGUGGCGCACGGGUGAGUAACGCGUGGAUAUCUGCCUUUUGGUUCGGAAUAACCUUGGGAAACCGGGGCUAAUACCGAAUGGUUCCUACGGGAUAAAGAUUUAUCGCCAAAAGAUGAGUCCGCGUCCGAUUAGCUAGUUGGUGAGGUAAUGGCUCACCAAGGCGACGAUCGGUAGCUGGUCUGAGAGGACGAUCAGCCACACUGGGACUGAGACACGGCCCAGACUCCUACGGGAGGCAGCAGUGGGGAAUAUUGGACAAUGGGGGCAACCCUGAUCCAGCCAUGCCGCGUGAGUGAUGAAGGCCUUCGGGUUGUAAAGCUCUUUUGGCGGGGACGAUGAUGACGGUACCCGCAGAAUAAGCCCCGGCUAACUUCGU
rnacentral:rRNA from 1 species